GGGCGAGUAGCGCAACUGGCUGACGCGGCGGACGUAAAAAUCCGUUACCCUAAAGGGAAGUGGGUUCGACCCCCACCUCGCUCA
rnacentral:tRNA from 2 species